CGAGGCGAGUGCUCUAACCACUGAGCUACAGGACUCGACAGAAUGGAGUCCCAGAAUGAAGAGCUGGACUACGGUUAUCCAGAAAAGGGACUACGUGACAUCACCAGAACUUUAUCCCCUGUACCACUACAACACCUAUGUGGGAGGCAUCCUCCUGCUCAAUAAGCAGCACUUUGAACUGGUAAAAUCAUAGGACAAUUUCAGAAGCAAGCAGAACUCGCCAGUGAUUCUCCACAGCUUUUCUCCUGAUUGAUCAGACAUCAGAAACCCUACAAACAGUAAAAGUACACUGCUAAACAGCAGCCCAUCUACAAUCUAGUUAACAAUUUACAGUUUAAAAAGAGCCGUGUGCCUAGCACCAGGCCUUGGCGAUGGGACUUCAUCCUCAGACUUUAUCCAAGUGGAACAGUCAGACCCGAGCGACUCUGGAGACCCGCAGCUCAGUG